UUGAUCUGUGAGAGCGGAAGGGACAGAGAGCUUGGGGAUGAGGCCUGGGGAAGGCUGGAUGGGUGUUUAUGUUGAAGGCGUCUCCCACCCCUGUAACUCUCAAACCCAGAACUCUGUAAUCCCACGCCUGAAGCUUAGAGGGCCUGUAGAAUAGGGCUGAGGGUGUCAGCCUUCAACUUGCUGUGACUCGGAGCAAGUUACUUAACCUUCUAACCCUUGAAAGCUGUUCUGUGGAGUAAGGAAGAUGACUGUCCAGCACGCCCUAGGACGGUGCACCCUUGCUCAAUGACAGCUUUCAUUCUUAGCUUAUGCAAGGCCGCAGGGGAAGAGAAAUGACUAAGUGGCCAAGCUAGGAUUUGAGACCCUGUGCUUGCCACCCUCUGCCCCUCCCCUGGCAGGGUCCCCAGGGAAGAAAGGAUCAGGUAAGGCCCUGGAGUCUUAGACCAACAGGCAGAUUUCACACUGGGUUGGGAUGUUCCAGAGAGCAGCCCCACCCAGUAGCCCCUCCCCACCAGAUCUACAGAGCUCAGCCCCAGAGCCCACAGGGCCUCUUCUAGAGCCCGGUCAUGGGGUAGUACAGGAUGUAGAGGCACUCACCAGGGGAUUAGUGAAGACACAGGCCAGGCAGCAGGCUGAAGCGCCCAGCACUAGGUCCACAGCUGGGGGCACCGUCUCCAUGGCCUCUAUGCCAGAAGCUUGCUGAGCCUGGGCUUUGGUCCCACUCUUGGCAGGAGCAGAGGUAGAGAAGGGCUAAGUUUGGAUCCCAGGCUCUUCUAUUACAUGUGACCCUGGGUAAGUUCCCUGAGCCCCAGUCUCCUUCAUUGUAAAACGGGGCUACUGAUGCCCACUUCAGAAGGUUCUUUGGAGGACUGGAGACACACAAAGAAUAUGCCCAGUAUGGGUUUCCUACCGAGUAAAAGGUAUAGCCCAUAUCCCCUCCUGCCUCUGGCUCCCGUCACCCAUCCCUGCGCCCUGACUUCAGGGCCCCUGGGAGAAUCUCGUGA